GAUGAACGCUGGCGGCGUGCUUAACACAUGCAAGUCGAACGAAGCACCUCUCCCGAAGAUUGACACAGCUUGCUGUAGAUUGAUUCAUUUGAGGUGACUGAGUGGCGGACGGGUGAGUAACGCGUGGGUAACCUGCCUCAUAGAGGGGGACAACAGUUGGAAACGACUGCUAAUACCGCAUAGUAAGAAGAAUUCGCAUGUUUUCUUCUUGAAAGAUUUAUCGCUAUGAGAUGGACCCGCGUCUGAUUAGCUAGUUGGUAAGGUAACGGCUUACCAAGGCGACGAUCAGUAGCAGGCGUGAGAGAGUGAACGGCCACAUUGGAACUGAGGCACGAGUCAAACUCCUACGGGAGGGAGCGGUAGCGAAUAUUGCACAAUGGGGGAAACCCUGAUGCAGCGACGCCGCGUGAGUGAAGAAGUAUUUCGGUAUGUAAAGCUCUAACAGCAGGGAAGAAAAUGACGGUACCUUACUAAGAAGCCCCGGCUAACUACGUG
rnacentral:rRNA from 1 species